ensembl:lncRNA
CACUUGGGCAAACUUCUGGGUAAUGCCUACUUUAAAGUGUCCUGUACUAGCUGACGAGCACCACAAAAAAUUCAGCAUUUAGUGGAAGGCUGUUUCUCUAGGGUCCUCAAGACUGCUUUUUCUUUCCUCAGGUGAUGGUACUGUUUAGCUUGUGGCUCCCUUCCACCCUACCUCAAUUCAGCAAAUACUGCAGGCACCUACUAUGUGCUGAAGACCCAUAGUGACCAAAAGAGCGUUUAGAUACAAAAGAGAAUGCAGUCCUCAGAAAAGGAAGAGGAGCCACCAAAGGGGACUCAGAGGACAUCUGAGCACUGAGAGAAAGUGCUAUCAUGAAAGCCAAGAGAGGCGCAUCAGAGAGGAGAGUGGCCAACUGUAGCAAACACCGAGAGGUCAGCAGUAAGAUGAAGCCCCGAAGGGAUCAUUGGCUUCUGAAACAUGGAGUUUCCAGAUCGACAGGUGGAGGCAGGAGCCUGACCCAGACUGAUCUGAGGAGAAAUUGGAGUUGAUGUGCAAACAGCAACUGCAGAGAACUCACAAAGUUUUGACGUGAAGGGGAGCAAAAAAAUGAGGGAGGUGGCUGGACGGAGAUGUGGGAUCAAGGCGAUUUUUGUUGUUCAAACUUUGUUUUUAGGAUACGGGAUACUGGGGCACGUUAUCUUAAGCAGGUGGGAAUGAUCUGGUAUAGAAGGAGAAACUGAUGACUAAGGAGAGAGGGGUCCAGGUACAGGCAAGGGGGUUGGCUCUAAUAGGUGCGCAAACCCUUCAUUCAAAAGCGGGGAGGGCAGAGAACAUGGGCAAGGUGCAGUGGUUGGUAGAUGGACAAGAGGGUUCAUAUCUGAUGGAUUCUAUCAUCUCUGUGAAGUAUGAGGCAAGCUCAUCUGUUUAGAGUGAAGGAUGAGAAGGGGUUAAGGGAGGAAGAAGAUUGAAAAAUCAUCAUUGCAGAGUGUGAGGAAUUGAAAACAGCAGCAAAAUAUAGUAGGAUUGAUAGGCAGAAUUGAGGGCUGAUUUAAAAUUUGUGGACAUCAACAUAAAGUGACAACAGUCACUGUAAAUUUCCCAGCAAUACAGGCAGAGAGUAGAGGAAUAGCUGGCUUAAUGAGGGUUGGGAAAGUUAUAAGAAAAGAGAGUGUCAGAGGGGUUAUGGGUUUUUGUCAGGAAGAGAGUAUAAUGCUCAUUACUAAGCUGGUAAGGAGAGAAGCGAGCCCGAGAAGGAAGAUAAGUGUGGAAAUCUGGCAGGUCCAAAGUCUGCAAGUCUUGACGAGGUUGAAGAAAUGCUUGUGUCAAUAGUUGGCUGGUCAAGGGGUGCGAUCUGACCUAGGGGCAGCCAAUCUGUGGACUGGCCAGUGACCUAUCCGAUGAGCUGUCAGCAUUAAAAGAUGAGAUGGGUCAGUUGGAUUCUGUCUUGGGGUCUGAACUAUGAAACACAAAAAGAAUUUGCCAGUUAAUAGAGCAAGCAGAUGCAGAGAAUAAAGAGGGGGCAAAGACCACC